rnacentral:rRNA from 1 species
CCUACGGGAGGCAGCAGUAGGGAAUAUUGCUCAAUGGGGGAAACCCUGAAGCAGCAACGCCGCGUGGAGGAUGAAGGUUUUCGGAUUGUAAACUCCUUUUGUUAGAGAAGAUAAUGACGGUAUCUAACGAAUAAGCACCGGCUAACUCCGUGCCAGCAGCCGCGGUAAUACGGAGGGUGCAAGCGUUACUCGGAAUCACUGGGCGUAAAGAGAGCGUAGGCGGGAUAGCAAGUCAGAUGUGAAAUCCUAUGGCUUAACCAUAGAACUGCAUUUGAAACUGGUAUUCUAGAGUAUGGGAGAGGUAGGUGGAAUUCUUGGUGUAGGGGUAAAAUCCGUAGAGAUCAAGAGGAAUACUCAUUGCGAAGGCGACCUGCUAGAACAUAACUGACGCUGAUGCGCGAAAGCGUGGGGAGCAAACAGGAUUAGAUACCCCGGUAGUC